CCUACGGGUGGCAGCAGUGAGGAAUAUUGGUCAAUGGACGCAAGUCUGAACCAGCCAUGCCGCGUGCAGGAAGACGGCUCUAUGUGUUGUAAACUGCUUUUGUACGAGGGUAAACGCAGAUACGCGUAUCUGUCUGCAAGUAUCGUACGAAUAAGGAUCGGCUAACUCCGUGCCAGCAGCCGCGGUAAUACGGAGGAUUCAAGCGUUAUCCGGAUUUAUUGGGUUGAAAGGGUGCGUAGGCGGUCGGAUAAGUUAGAGGUGAAAUCCCGAGGCUCAACUUCGGAAUUGCCUCUGAUACUGUUCGGCUAGAGAGUAGUUGCGGUAGGCGGAAUGUAUGGUGUAGCGGUGAAAUGCUUAGAGAUCAUACAGAACACCGAUUGCGAAGGCAGCUUACCAAGCUACUUCUGACGUUGAGGCACGAAAGCGUGGGGAGCAAACAGGAUUAGAUACCCGUGUAGUC
rnacentral:rRNA from 1 species